GAUCUCUACAAAGACUUCUCGGAGGCCUCUAGAUAUUUUGAAAAUUGUGUUCUCUGCCUUCUUUUCCAUUUGAAAAAUAUUUCGGAGUACAUGCCUGCAAGAGGCCAGAUCAAGCAGACUUCAAAGAGAGUUUGCCUAACCAUUACCACCCUCCAGCAACCCAGGGGCUAAUUUCUUAUCUAUGACAAUAGUAAAAAUAAUAAUUUCCAUAACUGUGUUAAAUGUGUGUAUAUCAACACUAAGCAAAAUCCUUUUAAAAAAUAAUUUACAUAUAAGAAUAUUAAAACUCAGACACAUCAAGUAAUUUACUCAAAGUUUCAAAACUAGUAACAGGCAAAGCUAGAAUCUGAUUCCAGGCCCAAGCCUAUGUAUUGUUCUACUAUGCUGCUCAUAAUUUAAUAAAAAAGCUAAACAAAUCUCAAAGGCAAGUGCUUGUAAACAACAUCUGUAAUGAUAAUGAUGGGCCCAGUUAAUAUUUGAGUACUAAGUGUCAAGUACAAUUCAGAGUUGUAUGAAAUCAUUUAAUUAAAUUAUUUAAUCCUCAUAACAACCCCAUGAGGUAGAACUAUUAUUAUUCCCAGAUGAGGAAACUGAGGCAUACAGAGGAAAUCUAGUUCCAGAGACCAUGCUUUUAACCAUUAGGCUAAACUGCUUCUUAAGCAACAUACAAAAACUAUACAGCACAAUUUUAAAAUGGUGCCAUGGAACUUAAUCACGUUCAACAAGCAGGUAAAACCAUCAGUUUUCAGUCCUAUUGAUCUAUCUGUUAUACAAAAGUUUCAGCAGCUUUAAAUAAAGUUCUGCAUGUGUGGGUACUCAGUUCAGGAACUAACCUUAGACCCUGUCCACUCUAUGCCCUUCUAUGAGGUAGGAAGCAGAUAAAUAUCCUCACUUGGUUCAAUCCAUGUGUGUGCAUUAUGGGAGGAGUCAUACAUAAGGGAGGGAAGGAGAGAACUGAGGGAAGAGGAGACAUGGUUCCAUGAAGGCACACUCAGGAAACAAGCCAGUUCAUUUGAGAGGAGAGGUUGAUAAAGGAUCACUUUCCUUAGCAAGAACAGUAAACUCAUUACAGUGGGAGAACAGCACCACCUCAAGAGCCCUAUGCUUAUCUUAUAGCACACUAUUUAGCCACACUGUGACUCUAGAACAGAUCUCUUCAUACAGCUUUGAUUUUUAAAGAAGUAUUUGCUCAGCACACAACUCAGCUUCUAAAUAAUAUCCUACUCAUAGUGCAAGCACUCACCCAAAUAUAACGACUCCAAAGCACUUUGUGCUUGAGUGCAAAGAAUGAUAAACUCAUCCCUCCCCUGACUUUUUCCUAAGUUUAGGCCUUCUGGGUAUUCAGGGGCAAGACUGAGUAAGAUAAGCAUGUGUGGCCUGGUGCAGUGGCUCAUGCCUGUAAUCCCAACACUUUGGGAGGCCGACUGCUUAGCCUAGGAGUUCAAGACCAGCUUGGCCAACAUAACGAAACCCCAUCUCUACAAAAAUUCACUGCGCAUGUUGGUGCACACCUGUGGUCCCAGCUACUUGAGAGGUUGAGGUGGGACAAUCACCUUGGCCCAGCAGGCUGGAGGUUGCAGUGAGCCAAGAUCGUGCCACUGCACUCCAGCCUAGGCAACAGAGUAAGACUGUCUCAAAAAAACCCAAAAAACAAAAAACCAUCCACAUGCUGAUUUGCUUAUAGGUUCAUGCAGUGCUCACUGCUCUUCUUGCCUGUCCAGCCCUGCAGGCUUUAGAUUUCCAAGACAGUAUGUUCUAACGGAAUUCAUUCCAGGUGAUGCUGUUGCUAUACGGGUUCCCUGUUCCUCUUUUCCACUUCUUUUGAAGAAAAGGUUUCAGGAAAGGGAGCACGGCAGAAGGGAGAUGCUAGGACGACUCCUGAACAGACAGUCAUAAGGAAGGCAGGAGGCAGUGACAACACCAGCCUCUUUCUCUUCUGACCCUUACUGCCCUUUCCCUGGGCACUCACUUCAUCUGGCUGCCUACCUGUCUGGGUAGCAUCCAGCUCUUGAGUCUUUUGCUUGAAUUAUCCAUUCAGCAAGGAGGCAGUGUUGAAUCAAUUCUAAGCCAAAGUGUUAAAAUUAGCGAUGACUUGGAAAGCAUUCUGUUUAUUUCAAGACUGGCAUUAAAUUAGAAGGGCAGCCUACAGGACUCAAGACAGAAAGGUACUGCACUUAAUCUCCAAGAACCUCACACUCCCUAGGAAAGCAGUUUGAGACUUGGAUCCUACAUAAUAUAUAGGCUUCCUUCUCCCCCAGUAAUUGCCCUUUUUAAAAUUCAGAUCAGAUAUUGCGGGGACAUGGAGAAAAACUGCACAUGGCACCUUCUUUGUCCCUAUCAGCGUUGGCUUGAUUAUGGGGCUGCUUAGGAUGUUAAUAAAUAUUUGGUCUUAGCCAACAGUGUUUAGGUAACCUAGGGCUGUUUUUCUCCCAGGGAAUGACGUAGGGAGUGACCAUGAUAUUGCUGGCCAACGCUGUGAAGAUCAUACUUUUAAAUCAAAUUCUGAGAAGGUUAGGCUAUACAAUGUCCCCCUCAGC
rnacentral:lncRNA from 1 species